UGAAGGGUCUGGGAGCCCAGGUCAUCUUCUCCUCAAUCCUGCCAGUGAGGGGGAUGGAUGAGAGGAGGAGGAGACGGACUUUCCAAGUUAACGACUGGCUGCACCGCUGGUGUUGGCAACAGGGUUUUGGUUUCUACGACCAUGGGACCCUGUUUGAAGAUCGACAACUGAUGGGGAGAGAUGGGAUCCACCUCACAAGGCGGGGCACGCGUGUCUUUGCCAACAGGUUGGCCAACCUGGUAAGGAGGGCUUUAAACUAGGAAAGAUGGGGGAAGGGGAGAGUUAUAGUGCCAGGGUAGCUGGCAAAAGACAGCUCAAGUUGGGACACCUCCAGCAGGUGAAUGCAGCCAGGGAAGUGYGCAUGGGAUGUGGCUAUGGAGGACCCUCUUGUAUCCCUCCUGGGAAACCUGCAUGCUCGAUCACCUCUCUGAAAUGCCUGUACACCAAUGCACGCAGCAUGGGGAACAAACAGGAAGAACUAGAGAUCUGUGUGCGGUCGCAGGGCCAUGAUCUCAUUGCCAUUACAGAGACGUGGUGGGAUAGAUCGCGUGACCGGAGUGCUGUCAUGGAUGGCUACGUGCUUUUUAGGAAAGACAGGCCAGGAAAGCGAGGUGGUGGAGUUGCUCUUUAUGUGAGAGAGCAACUGGAAUGUAUUGAGCUGUGCCUAGGGGUGGACGAAGAGCGAGUCAAGAGCUUAUGGGUAAGGAUUAAAUGGCAGGCUAGCACGGGUGACACUGUUGUGGGUGUUUACUACAGGCCACCUGAUCAGGAAGAGGAAGUCGAUGAGGCCUUCUACAGACAGCUGGAAGUAGCCUCACGAUCCCAGGCCCUGGUUCUCAUGGGGGACUUCAACCACCCCGAUAUCUGCUGGAAAGACAACACAGCUAGGCACAAGCAGUCCUGGAGGUUCCUGCAGAACAUUGGUGACAACUUCUUGACACAGGUGGUGGAGGAGCCAACAAGGAGAGGUGUGCUGCUGGACCUCGUACUAACAAAGAAAGAAGGACUGGUGGAAGAUGUGAAGGUUGGGGGCAGCCUUGGCUGCAGUGACCAUGAGAUGGUGGAGUUCAGGAUCCUGCGAGGAGGAGGCAUGGCACUAAGUAGGACCGCAACCCUGGACUUCAGGAGAGCAAACUUGGGCCUCU
rnacentral:lncRNA from 1 species